rnacentral:misc_RNA from 1 species
GAUGAAGAACGUAGCGAAAUGCGAUAAGUAGUGUGAAUUGCAGAAUUCAGUGAAUCAUCGAAUCUUUGAACGCACCUUGCGCUCCUUGGUAUUCCGAGGAGCAUGCCUGUUUGAGUGUCAUGAAAUUCUCAACCUUUCUGGCUUUUGCUAGUCAGGCUUGGAUUAUGGGAGCUGCUGGCUUUUGAAGUCGGCUCUUCUAAAAUGUAUUAGCAAGAUCAUUGCUGCUCAUCAUUGGUAUGAUAAUUAUCUAUAUCAUUGAGAGUCAGUUUCCUUUAUUGGAAGAUUUUGCUCCUAACGGUCUUUAGCAAGACAACAUUUGACGAUUUUGACCUCAAAUCAGGUAGGACUACCCGCUGAACUUAAGCAUAUCAAUAAGCGGAGGA